UAGGAGAACUUCUGUACAGUGACGCAUAAUACCGCAGACGGGUUUAAAGCACAUUUACUUUUAGUUUUAGGCAUGCGUCAUAAUAAUAAUAAUAGUGUUGUCUCGUUAUAGACUGGUUAUAUAGUCAUCUCUAUCGGUUAUGGAUAAAAUAUCGUAAAAGAUCGAACGAAAUUCGAAUCCCACCCACGACGGUGAUGACAACGACGUCUAAUAAAAAUGAAGCAUAAAAC